AGCAGUCGCCGCGGUAAUACAGAGGGUGCGAGCGUUAAUCGGAAUUACUGGGCGUAAAGCGUGCGCAGGCGGUUAUAUAAGACAGAUGUGAAAUCCCCGGGCUCAACCUGGGAACUGCAUUUGUGACUGUAUAGCUAGAGUACGGCAGAGGGGGAUGGAAUUCCGCGUGUAGCAGUGAAAUGCGUAGAUAUGCGGAGGAACACCGAUGGCGAAGGCAAUCCCCUGGGCCUGUACUGACGCUCAUGCACGAAAGCGUGGGGAGCAAACAGGAUUAGAGACCCCUGUAGUCCCUGUCUCUUAUAA
rnacentral:rRNA from 1 species